rnacentral:lncRNA from 1 species
CUAACAUGUUCUUGCCUACUACAAAAAAAUACUAAAUUUGCGGAGGUUUUAUUGCGGCGGUUAAUAUAACCUCCGCAAUCUAUAUCAAAUUGUGGGGGGUUAUUUAACCUCGCAAAUAUAUUAUAUUUACGGCGGUCGGUAACCUCCGCAACCCUUAAAAAAAUAGCGCCCACUAACCCUAAUAUUUCCCUCUCAUUUUUUCCCAAACCCCUUUCUAAUUUUCGCUUAUUUUUCAUUUUCAUAAACCCUCGCCCACUCUCACUUAAUCAAAACCCAUAGCAAUAAAGAGACUACAGAUCUAUCAAUCUCUGUUCCUUCACUUAAUCUCUUCCAUUUCUUCUUUACUUGAUAUCUUCCAUUUCUUCUUCAUUUCCUCCGAUUUCAAGCCCGUGUAGUUUGAAAAUUCCAAAUACAAUAGCUCUCUGCUUUUCUUCAGCGCCUCCUCUGUUGCAAAAUGAAAGAGAUAUGAAAGAAAACUUCAGAUCUAUCAAUCAAUUGGAUGUAAGUUUAUUUAAUUUUGCUCUUUCAUACAAAUUCCUCUUCGAUUUUGCUUUGAUUUUGCUUUUUUGUCUUUAUUUCUUCAUGCAUGUGGGUUUUAAGUUUAUUUUCUCUGUUAAUUUGUAGAAUCGAUGUAUUUUGAAGAAAUUUGAUAGAAUCGGUGUAUUUUGAAUCGGCAAAAAUUUGGUAGAAUCGAUAGAAAUUUGGUUGAAUCGGUGUAUUUUGAAGAAGGAUAUAACACUCUUUUCGCCGACUUGAUCAUCAACCUUAACAUAUUUCUUGUCUUUACAAUAACAAUUGCAGCCAAUUCUGGUUAGGAAUUUCUUGCCAUAGGACUUGUUAUUGGUAUUUGCUUGUGGCUAAUGCUGAUGUUUUCUUGAAAUAUUCUGCAAUAAUGCACUUCUACUAUUCCAGCUUGAUUCUGAAUGAAUACUUGGAGUUUUGUGGCAUUUUGUGGUUCACUAUUUGUCACUAAAUAGUGGGUUUUAUUAAGUGGCACUUCACAGUUCAGUUGGUUUGUUUAUUUUAGAUUCUUGGCCUCAUUUCUUCCUUAACAUUAUAGGAGUAUCAUAUUCCACGGUAAAAUAUUCUAGCAGUUUCAAUUUUUCCAUUGCAAACAAAUAUUCCUUAUACAUAUCCAUUGAUUAAUCAAUCCAAUAUAUACAAGAUAGAUGUUUUCAUAUACAUAUUUACAAUUAAAUCAUGAAUAAGUAAUGUGUUUUCUUUUUAACUUUUAAUUGCUAAGUUAAACUGUUUGAUUAGAAUAAAAACCAAGUACGAGUAAGUAUUUACUCAUAUAUUCUGGUGCAUAACAUAAUCAAAUUGUUUGCAUUCAUAAUAUCCUAAUUCCUAGGAGUAAUUUAGAAGAAUAAAUAUGUGUUUAUUAUUAUAACAUUAACCGUGCACUAACAAUUGAAGUGUACGCUUAUGCAUAGCCAUAAAUAGUAUGAGAAGGCUCCAUUUUGGAUUUGAGUAAUUUGUUCGAUUUUUGAGGAUACGAAAAGAAGUUACAGGAGGAAGAUAAAUUCAAAUGAACCUCAAGGAAUAACUGAUUUUGGAUCUAUGUUUGGUUGAUUUAAUUAGCUUAGCUUUAUUAUGUCAAAGAGAUAAGGUGGACGACUGGUUGGGUCAAUUCUUCAAACUAAUAACUCACAAUAAAAGUGGUGGAUUAUUCUGCUAUUAGUCUUCUUUGUUGAUAUUUAACUUAUCUAUAAGUUAUUUAUUCUCUUAUUUAGACAUUUCAUUCGCAAAAGUUUGAUAUCAGUUAAGGAACACCUUCCCCAAUCUCAUAUUCUUGAUAUUGGAAUUACAAUAGAGAACUGUCAACAUCAAGAAUUAGAAUAGAGUUCCAAGGCAACUACUUGAACAAAACAGAGAAGUAAACUAUAGGGAAGACAUGAGACAUGGAAAUUGGAAUGAUCCAAAUUAAAGCACUUCAUUAGCAUUAUAUCAGAAACAGAGCAAAGAAACCAGUAUACAGAAUAAGAAUAGGAUUAUGAUUUCCCAGGAACAACUUCUAAUAUGUGAAUAAUAUCCAUAUUUUAAAUAUUGUUACAUAAAUCCUUAUUAUGGUGAAUUUUGUGUUACUAACUGCAGUGCCAAAGUUUCAGCACUUGUUUUAUAAUAGAAAAAGAUAUUAUUCUUCUAUUGUUUUUCUUUUUUAACUUGUCAAUCACUGAUUGAGUUUGAAAUUUCGCCAAAUGAUGUUGUUGGUAAGGUGUUGGGAAAAGAGCACUCUGGAAGGGUAAGGUGCUUAGGAUUAGGAGUUAUUCCUGGCAGAGCUUUUAGACAAAUAAGACCUCGUUAUAGUGAUUUGAAUGCUUCAAGUUAUAAUAAUAGUUCAUAUUCUUCCCAAUGCCAAGAGAAGUACAAUCAAAUGUUGAAUGCUCACAAUCAAAGCCAAGAAAACUACAGAGAAAUGAUGAAUGUUAACACUCAAAUGAUGAAUGCUUUUAAGGUGUAUAUGAUAAUUAAAGAAGGGAAGAUACCUAAAGAAUUUGCAGGGAUAUUUGUUUCUCCUCCUCGUUCAACGGUAAGAAUAGUUCAUAACUUUCUUAUUUAAUUUUGUAAAAUAUGAUUGUUCAGUCCAAGUAUUAUUAGUUAGGAUAUUGUUGAGGUACGUUUUGUUAAUUAUAUUUUCUUUUGAUUGUUUUGUAGCCAAGUGAUGCGGCUAGCGGAUCCAUUUCAACCAUGGAUGUAAGAAGAUCAUCCAGUGGAAGUAAUCCUAACGACAACCAUUGAAGUUGCUUGCAAAUGAAUUAGAUAAUUAAGUAUCAUACUCGAUUGAAUGGUCAUAGUAGAUCUUUUGUCCAUAAUGGUUGGAGUGGAUAUUCUGUUUAAUGUUAGUUUUAAGACUAAUUAUAAUAUUGAUGUUUUGUGUUUAAUGGUUGGAGCAGUUGUGUUUAAAGCAAAAUUUUGAGACUAAUGAUAAUUUACUUUAAUGUAUUUUGUGGUUUAUUAAUAUAUUGAUAAUACUUGAUUCCAGUAAGCAAUUUAUAUAA